rnacentral:lncRNA from 1 species
AGAGGCAAGUGGUUAUAAUCCAAACGGAUGCCAGUGAGGCUGAGCCAAGUCCUGAUUUUCCUGACUAAUUGUGUGCUGUGUUCCUUAGGGACGACCUAGCCCAGCUGCCCUUCCUGACCAUGUGCAUCAAGGAGAGUCUGCGGCUGCAUCCCCCAGCUGUAGACCUCCUGCGCCGCUGCACCCAGGACAUUGUGCUACCUGAUGGCCCUCUUCUCUCAGGUUUACGACCCCUUCCGCUUUGACCCAGAAAGUCGUCAGAAGAGGUCACCUCUGUCUUUUAUUCCCUUCUCCGCAGGGCCCAGGAACUGCAUAGGACAGACUUUCGCUAUGAACGAGAUGAAGGUGGCGGUGGCGCUGACGCUGCUGCGCUUCCGACUCCUGCCGGAUGACAAGGAGCCGCGCCGGAAGCCAGAGAUAAUCCUGCGCGCGGAGGGCGGGCUGCGGCUGCUGGUGGAGCCUCUGAGUGGUGGUGCAUAAAGUCUUCAAACCUGA